CUUGGCUAUGGUGACAUGGUACCAGCAACAAUAAUGGGUAAAGUUGUUGGUGGUGUUUGUUCCCUUAGUGGAGUUUUGGUAAUUGCACUUCCUGUUCCAGUAAGUUUUAUCUUUUGAG
rfam:Loa loa cont3.12191, whole genome shotgun sequence.